AAUAUGGGCAAACUUGUAGAAAUGUAAGGGCGCAAAGCUAGAAGUCUAAGGCAUGAAAAUAUGCACAGAUAGUUCGGUUGC
rnacentral:ncRNA from 1 species